rnacentral:rRNA from 1 species
UACGGAGGGUGCAAGCGUUAGUCGGAAUCACUGGGCGUAAAGGGUGCGUAGGCGGUUAAAUAAGUCAGGUGUGAAAUUCCGAGGCUCAACCUCGGAGCUGCAUCUGAAACUAUAUAACUAGCGGGAUGGCGGAGAAAACGGAAUUCCAUGUGUAGCGGUGAAAUGCGUAGAUAUAUGGAAGAACACCUGUGGCGAAAGCGGUUUUCUAGCCUAACCCGGACGCUGAGGCACGAAAGCAAGGGGAUCAAACAGG